GUUCGUUCAUCUUGUAGAUCAUCCAUUGACAGCAAAUUCGUUUGUGGUCAACCAGAUGGAAAUAGUGAUCCACAAGACGCAGCUACCCAGAGCAUGGAACGGGGCCUGGG
rnacentral:ncRNA from 1 species